rfam:Canis lupus familiaris chromosome 17, whole genome shotgun sequence.
CUUAGAUAUGGAGAUAUGGUGCCCAAGACAAUUGCAGGGAAGAUUUUUGGCUCCAUCUGCUCCCUGAGUGGUGUCUUGGUCAUUGCCCUGCCAGUCCCUGUGAUCGUGUCCAAC